AGCAUCUUGCGAGUGCAGGGAGGGGAGAACAGAGAUGGAAGAAUACAAAAAUGGCCGCCCAAUCCCAAUAGAAUUCCAACCGUGAAAGAUUCUUCUUCCCGUUCUUGUAAUUUUAAAUGCGUUUGUCUCAUUUUCUCGAGGAAUCACGAAGUGGAAUCGUGCCGGUCCACUCUCUUCUGCCCCCACAAAAAAGGCACAAAUGGUGCUCUCCCAAUCAAGCUCCAUCUCCCAGUUUUGUCUCGCUCCUCAGCUCUUCGGCCACAGAAAUCAAGGACCCAAAAAUCUCUUUGUUGGUGCCCGAAAACUCUUGAAUUUUCCGGAGCUAGGGCUUCACAAUUCUCAGCUGUCAAGAAGACCACACAAAGCCAUAGAGCACAAUAUAUUUCUGUCUUUCAAUUCUCUUGAGACCCUGCUUGCUAAGCGUCCCAAAAUGGGUGCCGUGAAACUAGGGCUUUACAGUUCUUGGUGUUUUGGCGGGAACAAAACCGUACAAUUGGGCGGUUUCAGGCUCAGAAACCAGAAGCAGAGUUUUUUGAGUUUUGAUCAACUGAACAACCGAGAGUUUUUCAGUCAGAGGAAAGCGAGAUUAAUUGUCAAUGCGAAAUCAGUUUUGAGAGUUGAUAGAGAAUUGGAGAGUGAUGCAAGUGCUGGAGUGGACUGGAAUGGGUACUAUGAUGCAAUUGUGAUAGGUUCAGGAAUUGGAGGGUUGGUUGCAGCGACGCAGCUGGCUGUGAAGGGAGGUAGGGUUUUAGUGCUUGAGAAGUAUGUAAUUCCUGGCGGGAGUUCUGGUUUUUACCAAAGAGAUGGUUAUACGUUUGAUGUUGGAUCGUCUGUGAUGUUUGGCUUCAGUGACAAGGGCAAUCUAAAUUUGAUAACUCAAGCAUUGGCAGCAGUUGGGUGUAAGAUGCAGGUUAUACCUGAUCCAACCACCGUCCAUUUUCAUUUGCCCAGUAAUCUUUCUGUCCAAGUACACAAAGAAUACAAUGAAUUCACCACAGAACUCAUCAGCAAAUUUCCCCAUGAAAAGCAAGGGAUUCUGAAGUUCUAUAGUGAAUGUUGGAAGAUCUUCAAUGCCUUGAACUCAUUGGAAUUGAAAUCACUGGAGGAGCCGAUCUACCUAUUUGGACAGUUUUUCAAGAAACCUCUUGAAUGCUUGACACUUGCCUACUAUUUGCCCCAAAAUGCUGGAGACAUAGCUCGAAAAUUCAUAAAGGAUCCUGAAUUGUUGUCUUUUAUAGAUGCAGAGUGUUUCAUAGUGAGUACAGUCAAUGCUUUGCAGACACCGAUGAUCAAUGCAGGCAUGGUUCUCUGUGACAGGCAUUUUGGAGGAAUUAACUACCCUGUGGGUGGGGUUGGUGGAAUUGCCAAAUCCUUGGCAAAAGGCUUGGUUGAUCAAGGCAGUGAAAUAUUAUACAGGGCAAAUGUGACAAAUAUCAUAGUUGAUCAUGGAAAGGCUGUAGGAGUGAGAAUGUCAGAUGGAAGACAGUUCUUUGCCAAAACAAUAGUAUCAAAUGCUACUAGAUGGGAUACUUUUGGCAAGCUUCUAAAUGUAGAAGAUCUUCCAGAAGAAGAAAAAAAUUUCCAAAAACUGUAUGUCAAGGCUCCCUCUUUUCUUUCUAUUCACAUGGGGGUUAAAGCUGAGGUUUUGCCACCAGAUACAGAUUGUCAUCAUUUUGUUCUUGAGGAUGACUGGACAAAUUUGGAGAAGCCAUAUGGAAGUAUAUUUUUGAGCAUUCCAACAGUUCUUGAUUCAUCCCUGGCUCCAGAAGGUCGCCAUAUUCUUCACAUAUUUACAACUUCUUCAAUAGAAGACUGGGAGGGGCUCUCUCCAGUAGACUAUGAGGCUAAGAAAGAGGUUGUGGCUGAUAAAGUCAUUAGCAGAUUGGAGAAGAAACUAUUUCCAGGCCUUAAAUCUUCUAUUGUUUUUAAGGAGGUGGGGACACCCAAGACACACAGGAGGUACCUAGCUCGUGUUAAUGGUACCUAUGGUCCAAUGCCACGCCAGACUCCGAAGGGCUUACUUGGGAUGCCAUUCAACACCACUGCUAUAGAUGGCCUAUAUUGUGUGGGAGAUAGUUGCUUUCCAGGACAAGGUGUCAUUGCUGUAGCUUUCUCUGGAGUAAUGUGUGCACAUAGAGUAGCUGCUGAUCUUGGACUUGAGAAGAAUUCUCCUAUAUUGGAUGCUGCUCUUCUUAGACUACUUGGUUGGUUAAGGACACUAGCAUAAUCCUUUUCAAUUGGUAGAAAGCACCUAAAUUCCAACAUUCACCUGUGAGUUCAUGAGAAGCUAGGAAUAACAGCAAUGGAGGACAUUGUGAGAGAACGGAGAUCAUAAUAUUGUUAUGUAUAGGGACUGAUCUUGCCAAAAAUAAGACUCCAUGAGAAUCAGAGGAAGUCUGAAAGGACUCAAGUCAAGUGCAUAAGAAUUAUGUCCUUACAUGUCAUUUGAAGCCAUGCCCCAGAUUGAACAGACUGGGAGAGGGAAAAACCGGACUAGUUGGGAUGAAGAUAUAUAGGUCUGAUUUUGACUGCUAUUGUUUCUAUUGCUGUCAUCUUAUUAUGUGAACUUGAGUCUGUGGAAUUGAACUGGAACAUACCUCAGCUAUAUCUUGUAAGAUUUCAACAGUCCUCAGAGCAGUAGUAGAAUCCAGGCUGGAGGUUGGCUCAUCAAGAAACAAAAGAGAAGGGUUGAUUAUGAUCUCAUUGCCAAUACAGACACGCUUCCUCUCUCCCCCUGAAAUUCCCUGAACAAAGGAGCCGCCAAUCAUAGUGUCUUGGCACCUGAGCACAUGAUAUUUCUCACUGAUUUACUCAAAGAAUCAAGUACAAUUAAUUAUCUAUUGCUUUACCCCUUGAUGAACUCAUCCUAUUGAUUACUUGUUCUAACAAAUAAAUACAGGACUUGAGCAUGGCGGAGGAAUGAGAACUUACCUCUCCAAUCCCAGCUCAUAGAUUACGUCUGUGGCUCUUUUUUCCUUUUCCUGUUUUGUCAAUGCCUUUGGAAGCCGUAGAAGAGCUGCAUAAGUUAACGUUUCCUUCACUGUGAGAUGAGGAAAUAGCACGUCCUCUUGAGUCACGAAUCCUAUCCUGCCAUAUUUUUCAUGUUAUUCUAAUGCAUGUCUUUUCAUAUUGCUGUCACUGACUCACUGUUGUGGUAAUGUAUGCUUAAAGCCAAAGUUGUUCUUGGAAUUUUGAGAGCUAACUGUAAGAUCAGUCUAAAUUGCUAUUAUGAUCAACAAUACUUUCUGGCUCAUGAAAAUUUCUCUCCAAAUAACUUGAUAUAUUUCCUUUAUCUGCUGAUGCUGUAACUGUGAUGAUUGUGGCGGAUUCAUAGGAGCAACUGCUUACAAAAGUUUGCACGUACUACUCUUUCUUUAUACAGAGGCCAACUAAUACCAGACUCGCAUAAAAAAGGCAAAAAAGGAGAUGGAUCGAUGGAUCUUGUACAUAAAUGUGUCAGACAAAUAAGACUCUGUACAAGACCUGAACCUGACAAGGUAGCCAUGUUCAAUGGGUUGCGUUGAUCGCUAGAUAAAUCUCCAUCAUUUCCUGCCCAAGUAGAUAGUAUGAAAAUUAAUCCACUUUGCUUUAUACCUGUGAAAUAGGGGGGUUGUCACCUCGGUAUACAUAUAUAUAUGUAUAUAUGCCCUCUACACACAGAAUUAACGUAAAAAUUCUCCUUGGCUUA